rnacentral:rRNA from 1 species
UACAGAGGGUGCGAGCGUUGUUCGGAAUUAUUGGGCGUAAAGAGCUCGUAGGCGGUCUGUUGCGUCUGCUGUGAAAACUCGGGGCUUAACCCCGAGCCUGCAGUGGAUACGGGCAGACUAGAGGUAGGUAGGGGAGAGCGGAAUUCCCGGUGUAGCGGUGAAAUGCGCAGAUAUCGGGAAGAACACCGGUGGCGAAGGCGGCUCUCUCGGAG